AUUGAACGCUGGCGGCAUGCUUUACACAUGCAAGUCGAACGGCAGCGGGGAGGAGCUUGCUUCUCUGCCGGCGGGUGGCGAACGGGUGAGUAAUACAUCGGAACGUGUCGAGAAGAGGGGGAUAACCACCCGAAAGGGUGGCUAAUACCGCAUAAAUUCUGAGGAAGAAAGCUGGGGACCUAGGAAUAGGCCUAGCGCUUUUUGAGCGGCCGAUGUCGGAUUAGCUAGUUGGUGAGGUAAAGGCUCACCAAGGCGAAGAUCUGUAGCGGGUCUGAGAGGAUGAUCCGCCACACUGGGACUGAGACACGGCCCAGACUCCUACGGGAGGCAGCAGUGGGGAAUUUUGGACAAUGGGGGCAACCCUGAUCCAGCCAUGCCGCGUGUAUGAAGAAGGCCUUAGGGUUGUAAAGUACUUUUGUUAGGGAAGAAAAGUCAGCUGUGAAUAAUGGCUGAUACUGACGGUACCUAAAGAAUAAGCACCGGCUAACUACGUG
rnacentral:rRNA from 1 species